GGGGUGGCCGUUAUAACAUAUGGAUAAUAUGCACAUGGAAGGUGUACAUUAAGAUGUUUCAAAUAUAUAGAUCCAUGAUGUCGGACAUAGUACAAUGGUAAGAUCCACUUCUUUAUGAUGGCGAGGAUGAUUGUUAGCCUGGCAUGUGGAGCUGUACUAAUAAGGUCUUCAUAUCACAGCACCAGAGCGUGUCUGGCAAGGCUUGCUCGCCAUGGCUUACCGUGUCAGUGAGACGAGAC